GUCCACGCCGUAAACGCUGAGAACUAGACGUUGGAUGACAUAGUCGUUCAGUGUCGCAGCUAACGCGUUAAGUUCUCCGCCUGGGGAGUACGGCCGCAAGGUUGAAACUCAAAGGAAUUGACGGGGGCCCGCACAAGCGGUGGAGCAUGUGGUUUAAUUCGAUGCAACGCGAAGAACCUUACCUGCCCUUGACAUCCUGUGAACCUCUUGGAGACGAGAGGGUGCUUUCGAGAACACAGUGACAGGUGCUGCAUGGCU
rnacentral:rRNA from 1 species